rnacentral:rRNA from 1 species
UGGUGGGUAGUUUGACUGGGGCGGUCUCCUCCUAAAGAGUAACGGAGGAGCACGAAGGUUGGCUAAUCCUGGUCGGACAUCAGGAGGUUAGUGCAAUGGCAUAAGCCAGCUUGACUGCGAGCGUGACGGCGCGAGCAGGUGCGAAAGCAGGUCAUAGUGAUCCGGUGGUUCUGAAUGGAAGGGCCAUCGCUCAACGGAUAAAAGGUACUCCGGGGAUAACAGGCUGAUACCGCCCAAGAGUUCAUAUCGACGGCGGUGUUUGGCACCUCGAUGUCGGCUCAUCACAUCCUGGGGCUGAAGUAGGUCCCAAGGGUAUGGCUGUUCGCCAUUUAAAGUGGUACGCGAGCUGGGUUUAGAACGUCGUGAGACAGUUCGGUCCCUAUCUGCCGUGGGCGCUGGAGAACUGAGGGGGGCUGCUCCUAGUACGAGAGGACCGGAGUGGACGCAUCACUGGUGUUCGGGUUGUCAUGCCAAUGGCACUGCCCGGUAGCUAAAUGCGGAAGAGAUAAGUGCUGAAAGCAUCUAAGCACGAAACUUGCCCCGAGAUGAGUUCUCCCUGACUCCUUGAGAGUCCUGAAGGAACGUUGAAGACGACGACGUUGAUAGGCCGGAUGUGUAAGCGCAGCGAUGCGUUGAGCUAACCGGUACUAAUGAACCGUGAGGCUUAACCUUACAACGCCGAAGGUGUUU